AUUUGAACUCUGCCACCCAGACUAGCCUUAUGGAAGCAAAAUGCAAUCAGGCUUUGUUAUGAGUGGGAGUUUUCUUUCUUUUUUUCUUCACAGUUUAAGGAAAACAACCAUAAGAUAUACAACGUUUCCAUCAGUGAGCAAGAAAUAAAAAAUCUAAACAAAUCAUUUGAACUAAAACAAGAUUAAAGGAAGGAAACAGUGUGGUCAAACAUCGACAGCACAUAGAUGGAUGUUCUCACAGUGAUCUUUGA